AUUGGCAGUCAAAUAAAAAUAUUUUAUAUUAUUUGAUUUUAACAUAUAAGAAUUAAAAGUUUUUAUACAUGCAUAAAUACUGAUAAAAACCUGAAAGGGACUGUUGAAAAAUAUGGAUUAGCUUUGAAAAAAGACAGUUUAAAUAGAAAUAGCAAAGUUUUGGUAUGAGAUGUUACUACCAUUAGGAUAAUUGAUAAAUAUUACAGGACCAGGACCAAGUUGAUACAGGACCAGGUAAUAAACAUGAAAAACUACAGAAAAUACCGAAUGAAGGGCCAUGCAUUGACAAACGACACUUGUAGGAAAUGCCACAUAACAACUGAAACAAUUCAGCACAUUACAUCAAGUUGCAAGCUGCUUGCACAAACAGAUUAUCUGCACAGACACAACCAAGUAGCAAACAUAGUACACCAAAAGCUUGCAACCAAACACAAAUUAAUAAACACACUCACAUCAUAUUACAAAUACAUUACCAGA
rnacentral:lncRNA from 1 species